rnacentral:rRNA from 1 species
UACAGAGGUCUCAAGCGUUGUUCGGAUUCAUUGGGCGUAAAGGGUGCGUAGGCGGCGCGGUAAGUCGGGUGUGAAAUCUCGGAGCUUAACUCCGAAACUGCAUUCGAUACUGCCGUGCUUGAGGACUGGAGAGGAGACUGGAAUUUACGGUGUAGCGGUGAAAUGCGUAGAUAUCAGGAGGAACACCGGUGGCGAAGGCGGGUCUCUGGGCAGUAACCUCGCUGAGGAGCGAAAGCGUGGGGAGCGAACAGG